rnacentral:miRNA from 1 species
GAGGAUUCUGAUGAAGAU